rnacentral:rRNA from 1 species
AGCGUACACGGUGGAUGCCCUGGCAGUCAGAGGCGAUGAAGGACGUGCUAAUCUGCGAUAAGCGUCGGUGAGGUGAUAUGAACCGUUAUAACCGGCGAUUUCCGAAUGGGGAAACCCAGUGUGUUUCGACACACUAUCAUUAACUGAAUCCAUAGGUUAAUGAGGCGAACCGGGGGAACUGAAACAUCUAAGUACCCCGAGGAAAAGAAAUCAACCGAGAUUCCCCCAGUAGCGGCGAGCGAACGGGGAGGAGCCCAGAGCCUGAAUCAGUGUGUGUGUUAGUGGAAGCGUCUGGAAAGGCGUGCGAUACAGGGUGACAGCCCCGUACACAAAAAUGCACAUAUUGUGAGCUCGAUGAGUAGGGCGGGACACGUGGUAUCCUGUCUGAAUAUGGGGGGACCAUCCUCCAAGGCUAAAUACUCCUGACUGACCGAUAGUGAACCAGUACCGUGAGGGAAAGGCGAAAAGAACCCCGGCGAGGGGAGUGAAAAAGAACCUGAAACCGUGUACGUACAAGCAGUGGGAGCCUCUUAAUGGGGUGACUGCGUACCUUUUGUAUAAUGGGUCAGCGACUUAUAUUCUGUAGCAAGGUUAACCGAAUAGGGGAGCCGAAGGGAAACCGAGUCUUAACUGGGCGUUAAGUUGCAGGGUAUAGACCCGAAACCCGGUGAUCUAGCCAUGGGCAGGUUGAAGGUUGGGUAACACUAACUGGAGGACCGAACCGACUAAUGUUGAAAAAUUAGCGGAUGACUUGUGGCUGGGGGUGAAAGGCCAAUCAAACCGGGAGAUAGCUGGUUCUCCCCGAAAGCUAUUUAGGUAGCGCCUCGUGAAUUCAUCUCCGGGGGUAGAGCACUGUUUCGGCAAGGGGGUCAUCCCGACUUACCAACCCGAUGCAAACUGCGAAUACCGGAGAAUGUUAUCACGGGAGACACACGGCGGGUGCUAACGUCCGUCGUGAAGAGGGAAACAACCCAGACCGCCAGCUAAGGUCCCAAAGUCAUGGUUAAGUGGGAAACGAUGUGGGAAGGCCCAGACAGCCAGGAUGUUGGCUUAGAAGCAGCCAUCAUUUAAAGAAAGCGUAAUAGCUCACUGGUCGAGUCGGCCUGCGCGGAAGAUGUAACGGGGCUAAACCAUGCACCGAAGCUGCGGCAGCGACACUAUGUGUUGUUGGGUAGGGGAGCGUUCUGUAAGCCUGUGAAGGUGGCCUGUGAGGGUUGCUGGAGGUAUCAGAAGUGCGAAUGCUGACAUAAGUAACGAUAAAGCGGGUGAAAAGCCCGCUCGCCGGAAGACCAAGGGUUCCUGUCCAACGUUAAUCGGGGCAGGGUGAGUCGACCCCUAAGGCGAGGCCGAAAGGCGUAGUCGAUGGGAAACAGGUUAAUAUUCCUGUACUUGGUGUUACUGCGAAGGGGGGACGGAGAAGGCUAUGUUGGCCGGGCGACGGUUGUCCCGGUUUAAGCGUGUAGGCUGGUUUUCCAGGCAAAUCCGGAAAACCAAGGCUGAGGCGUGAUGACGAGGCACUACGGUGCUGAAGCGACAAAUGCCCUGCUUCCAGGAAAAGCCUCUAAGCAUCAGGUAACAUCAAAUCGUACCCCAAACCGACACAGGUGGUCAGGUAGAGAAUACCAAGGCGCUUGAGAGAACUCGGGUGAAGGAACUAGGCAAAAUGGUGCCGUAACUUCGGGAGAAGGCACGCUGAUAUGUAGGUGAAGCGACUUGCUCGUGGAGCUGAAAUCAGUCGAAGAUACCAGCUGGCUGCAACUGUUUAUUAAAAACACAGCACUGUGCAAACACGAAAGUGGACGUAUACGGUGUGACGCCUGCCCGGUGCCGGAAGGUUAAUUGAUGGGGUUAGCGGUAACGCGAAGCUCUUGAUCGAAGCCCCGGUAAACGGCGGCCGUAACUAUAACGGUCCUAAGGUAGCGAAAUUCCUUGUCGGGUAAGUUCCGACCUGCACGAAUGGCGUAAUGAUGGCCAGGCUGUCUCCACCCGAGACUCAGUGAAAUUGAACUCGCUGUGAAGAUGCAGUGUACCCGCGGCAAGACGGAAAGACCCCGUGAACCUUUACUAUAGCUUGACACUGAACAUUGAGCCUUGAUGUGUAGGAUAGGUGGGAGGCUUUGAAGUGUGGACGCCAGUCUGCAUGGAGCCGACCUUGAAAUACCACCCUUUAAUGUUUGAUGUUCUAACGUUGGCCCGUAAUCCGGGUUGCGGACAGUGUCUGGUGGGUAGUUUGACUGGGGCGGUCUCCUCCUAAAGAGUAACGGAGGAGCACGAAGGUUGGCUAAUCCUGGUCGGACAUCAGGAGGUUAGUGCAAUGGCAUAAGCCAGCUUGACUGCGAGCGUGACGGCGCGAGCAGGUGCGAAAGCAGGUCAUAGUGAUCCGGUGGUUCUGAAUGGAAGGGCCAUCGCUCAACGGAUAAAA